rnacentral:tRNA from 1 species
GGGGGUGUAGCUCAGUAGGUUAGAGCGCUGGCCUGUCACGCCAGAGGCCGCGGGUUCGAGUCCCGUCACUCCCGCCA